UUUUUGAGCGGGAAAAUAAUCCUGUCAGAACAGAAGCUGCUCUGAAGUAACUUUAGUGUUUUUGUCGUCAAGUUUAGAGAUCGCAUCACUUUAUAUAAUCUCUCAAAUAACUAUGUAACGCUUGGAAUUAAGGUUUGUGUGGUGCUGCUGAAGGUCCAUCUGUUGGCUUGUUCUGGAGGUCUUAAUGAAAUCAAAGGCACUGUCGUCUAUGGUAGCUCCACUGAGCACAUGUCAGGUCUUCUCCAGCAUCUCACGGCACACACCUGUUCCUCAACCUAUAAUGAAGACAACAGGGGAGCAGAGACGGCACAGCAUCUCACAGAGGACCCUGAUGCAAUUCUGAGAAACCCUCAGCGAUUUGUUUAGUGAUGCCUGACAGAGCUUUGUGGACCAGGUGAAGAUCCUGCUGAGAUGCUUCAGAGAAGCCCAGAUUAUCCUCAGACAUCUGCAUGACCAGCGCUCUUCAUUACGCGUGUCAGAAACCAUCCAACUGUUCCUGGUGUCAUGGCAACAGGAGAGGAUUUUGGUAAUGAGUAAGAGUACAGCGCUGAAGGUUGACCACAGCAGAUGUCUCUGGGCCGGAUCUGCACCAGAUCCGCGCCGAAGUCAGCGUCUCCAGUGCGGAUCCGACACCUGAACAUUAAGGUUACGCUAGUGGAGCUCUUUUAUAAAUAUAUGUGGAUUUUCAGGUCUAUUAUUAGAUGCCAGACUUACCGAGCACUUGUUAGGUUUCUCUCCUGAAUGAACUCUCAUAUGA